UUAGAGUUUGAAUCCUGGCUCAGAUUGAACGCUGGCGGCAGGCCUAACACAUGCAAGUCGAGCGGUAGAGAGAAGCUUGCUUCUCUUGAGAGCGGCGGACGGGUGAGUAAUGCCUAGGAAUCUGCCUGGUAGUGGGGGAUAACGUUCGGAAACGGACGCUAAUACCGCAUACGUCCUACGGGAGAAAGCAGGGGACCUUCGGGCCUUGCGCUAUCAGAUGAGCCUAGGUCGGAUUAGCUAGUUGGUGAGGUAAUGGCUCACCAAGGCGACGAUCCGUAACUGGUCUGAGAGGAUGAUCAGUCACACUGGAACUGAGACACGGUCCAGACUCCUACGGGAGGCAGCAGUGGGGAAUAUUGGACAAUGGGCGAAAGCCUGAUCCAGCCAUGCCGCGUGUGUGAAGAAGGUCUUCGGAUUGUAAAGCACUUUAAGUUGGGAGGAAGGGCAGUUACCUAAUACGUGAUUGUUUUGACGUUACCGACAGAAUAAGCACCGGCUAACUCUGUGCCAGCAGCCGCGGUAAUACAGAGGGUGCAAGCGUUAAUCGGAAUUACUGGGCGUAAAGCGCGCGUAGGUGGUUAGUUAAGUUGGAUGUGAAAUCCCCGGGCUCAACCUGGGAACUGCAUUCAAAACUGACUGACUAGAGUAUGGUAGAGGGUGGUGGAAUUUCCUGUGUAGCGGUGAAAUGCGUAGAUAUAGGAAGGAACACCAGUGGCGAAGGCGACCACCUGGACUGAUACUGACACUGAGGUGCGAAAGCGUGGGAGCAACAGNU
rnacentral:rRNA from 1 species